rnacentral:ncRNA from 1 species
AUUUUAUACCGAAGGGUGGAGAGACUAGGCUCUGUGAAUCCCUGGCAACCACUCCUCCGAUGGCUCGGAGGAAAAGGUGCCAAUUCCUGUCCCCGCUGGCAUUUCGCCGUGGGGAGCAUAUAAAAU